rnacentral:rRNA from 1 species
AGGUAAGCUACUAAGAGCGAAUGGUGGAUGCCUUGACUGGUAAAGGCGAUGAAGGACGUACUAGACUGCGAUAAGCUACGGGGAGCUGUCAAGAAGCUUUGAUCCGUAGAUUUCCGAAUGGGGCAACCCAAUGUAUAGAGAUAUACAUUACCUAUAUAGGAGCGAACGAGGGGAAUUGAAACAUCUUAGUACCCUCAGGAAAAGAAAUCAAUAGAGAUUGCGUCAGUAGCGGCGAGCGAAAGCGCAAGAGGGCAAACCCAGUGCUUGCACUGGGGGUUGUAGGACUGCAAUGUGCAAGAGGUGAGUUUAGCAGAACAUUCUGGAAAGUAUAGCCAUAGAGGGUGAUAGUCCCGUAUGCGAAAAACAAACCUUAGCUAGCAGUAUCCUGAGUAGGGCGGGACACGAGAAAUCCUGUCUGAAGCUGGGUCGACCACGAUCCAACCCUAAAUACUAAUACCAGAUCGAUAGUGCACAAGUACCGUGAGGGAAAGGUGAAAAGAACUGAGGUGAUCAGAGUGAAAUAGAACCUGAAACCAUUUGCUUACAAUCAUUCAGAGCCCUAUGUAGCAAUACAGGGUGAUGGACUGCCUUUUGCAUAAUGAGCCUGCGAGUUGUGGUGUCUGGCAAGGUUAAGCAAACGCGAAGCCGUAGCGAAAGCGAGUCUGAAUAGGGCGCUUAGUCAGAUGCUGCAGACCCGAAACGAAGUGAUCUAUCCAUGAGCAAGUUGAAGCUAGUGUAAGAACUAGUGGAGGACUGAACCCAUAGGCGUUGAAAAGCCCCGGGAUGACUUGUGGAUAGGGGUGAAAGGCCAAUCAAACUUCGUGAUAGCUGGUUCUCUCCGAAAUAUAUUUAGGUAUAGCGUUGUGUCGUAAUAUAAGGGGGUAGAGCACUGAAUGGGCUAGGGCAUACACCAAUGUACCAAACCCUAUCAAACUCCGAAUACCUUAUAUGUAAUCACAGCAGUCAGGCGGCGAGUGAUAAAAUCCGUCGUCAAGAGGGAAACAACCCAGACUACCAGCUAAGGUCCCUAAAUCUUACUUAAGUGGAAAACGAUGUGAAGUUACUUAAACAACCAGGAGGUUGGCUUAGAAGCAGCCAUCCUUUAAAGAAAGCGUAAUAGCUCACUGGUCUAGUGAUUUUGCGCGGAAAAUAUAACGGGGCUAAAGUAAGUACCGAAGCUGUAGACUUGCGCACAACUUAGAUUAUUUAAGUUUAGAAUAUGAGAAACUAAGUUAUAUGUUUAGUUAUAUUUUUACUGAUUUUUAUAGAGUAAAGAUAGAAAUAAAACUUAGUAAAAUCAGUAAAAAUAUUCUUAGACUAAAGUUAAGUAGUUUAAGUUGUGUGCAAGUGGUAGGAGAGCGUUCUAUUUGCGUCGAAGGUAUACCGGUAAGGAGUGCUGGAGCGAAUAGAAGUGAGCAUGCAGGCAUGAGUAGCGAUAAUUAAUGUGAGAAUCAUUAACGCCGUAAACCCAAGGUUUCCUACGCGAUGCUCGUCAUCGUAGGGUUAGUCGGGUCCUAAGUCGAGUCCGAAAGGGGUAGACGAUGGCAAAUUGGUUAAUAUUCCAAUACCAACAUUAGUGUGCGAUGGAAGGACGCUUAGGGCUAAGGGGGCUAGCGGAUGGAAGUGCUAGUCUAAGGUCGUAGGAGGUUAUACAGGCAAAU